rnacentral:ncRNA from 1 species
CAGUUAAAAUGGUACUUCUACUUAAAUAUUUUUCAUGGUCUUUCUCCAGACAGACUUAAAUACCUUAUCUCUCUUUACUCUUCCCCCAAUAAUGUUCAUUAGAUGUUCACCUAGUGCUGCCCUCCUCUCUGUCUCUUGCUGUGUCUUCGUUGUCAACAAAAAAGUUUCUUACGAGAAUGAAAGUCAGAGGGUUGAAAAUGAUCAUUUACUGUUGUAGUUCCAACCAUAAACAAUGCUGACUCAUGAUCCAGCAGUGUAACUCCAUUAUCCACCAGGCAGCCUAUAGGAAACCAAAUUCUUUGGGUUCCG